rnacentral:ncRNA from 1 species
GGUCGGGAGGGGACGAAUACAACACCCGCAAGGGAAAUCAGUCCGCCGAACUAUGUGCGGUUUUCAGCCUCCUGACCGCCUUCGC